GCAAACUACGGCCCGCGGGCCAAAUCCGACCCAUUGGUCUUUUUAAUUCGGCCCGCCGAAGGUUGGUACACAAUUAAGGUUCGAUGUCAACGACUGCAUUCAUUUAAUUUGGACUUGUAAUGACAGGCAUUUCAACGCCAGGUGGCACAGUUAUUUGAAGUUGCAGAGCAUAGGGAGGAAGGGGGAGACGAUACGGAAGCCCGCAGUAGCGCCAAGUCAAGCAAAUCCCGUUCGAUACGACGGAAUAAUGUACUCUUAAAGUCUGAAAAACGUGCCAAAAAAUGCAAAAUACUGCUUUUCAAAUAAAGAAAUCCAAUUAA